CUUUUAUUGAGAGUUUGAUCCUGGCUCAGGAUGAACGCUGGCGGCGUGCUUAACACAUGCAAGUCGAACGAAGCACUUGAAUGGAUUCCUUCGGGAGGAAGUUCUUGUGACUGAGUGGCGGACGGGUGAGUAACGCGUGGGUAACCUGCCUCAUACAGGGGGAUAACAGCUGGAAACGGCUGCUAAUACCGCAUAACCCGAUAGGGCCGCAUGGCCCGGACGGAAAAGAAUUAUCGGUAUGAGAUGGACCCGCGUCUGAUUAGCUAGUUGGAGGGGUAACGGCCCACCAAGGCGACGAUCAGUAGCCGGCUUGAGAGAGUGACCGGCCACAUUGGGACUGAGACACGGCCCAAACUCCUACGGGAGGCAGCAGUGGGGAAUAUUGCACAAUGGGGGAAACCCUGAUGCAGCGACGCCGCGUGAGUGAAGAAGUAUUUCGGUAUGUAAAGCUCU
rnacentral:rRNA from 1 species